rnacentral:rRNA from 1 species
GAUGAACGCUAGCUACAGGCUUAACACAUGCAAGUCGCGGGGCAGCAUGGGGGUUGCUUGCAACUCCCGAUGGCGACCGGCGCACGGGUGAGUAACGCGUAUCCAACCUGCCCCUCACCACGGGAUAACCCGGCGAAAGUCGGACUAAUACCGUAUGUUGUCCAUUGACGGCAUCCGAUUUGGACGAAAGGCUUUGCGGUGAAGGAUGGGGAUGCGUCCGAUUAGCCAGACGGCGGGGUAACGGCCCACCGUGGCUACGAUCGGUAGGGGUUCUGAGAGGAAGGUCCCCCACACUGGAACUGAGACACGGUCCAGACUCCUACGGGAGGCAGCAGUGAGGAAUAUUGGUCAAUGGGCGUAAGCCUGAACCAGCCAAGUAGCGUGCAGGAGGACGGCCCUAUGGGUUGUAAACUGCUUUUAUGCGGGGAUAAAGUGGCCCACGUGUGGGCUUUUGCAGGUACCGCAUGAAUAAGGACCGGCUAAUUCCGUG